rnacentral:rRNA from 1 species
UACGUAGGCGGUUUGUUUAGUCAGAUGUGAAAGCCCCGGGCUUAACCUGGGAACUGCAUUUGAAACUGGCAAGCUAGAAUAUGGUAGAGGGGGGUAGAAUUUCUAGUGUAGCGGUGAAAUGCGUAGAUAUUAGAAGGAAUACCAGUGGCGAAGGCGGCCCCCUGGACCAAUAUUGACGCUGAGGUACGAAAGCGUGGGUAGCGAACAGGAUUAGAUACCCUGGUAGUCC